AGCCCAAGCUUAAAACCCAAAGGACUUGACGGUGUCCCACCCUCCUAGAGGAGCCUGUUCUAUAAUCGAUUCUCCACGAUCAACCCUACCACCUUUUGAAUACACAGCCUGUAUACCUCCGUCGCAAGCUUACCCUGUGAAUGCACUUAGUGAGCCAAAUGAUUUAACAUCCACACGUCAGGUCAAGGUGCAGCCCACAAGGCGGAAAGAAAUGGGCUACAAUCUCUACUUUAGAACAAACGAAAGACUAUAUGAAACACAGUCAUUGAAGGCGGAUUUAGUAGUAAAAAGAAAAUAGAGAGUUCUUUUUAACUAGGCACUGGGACGCGUACACACCGCCCGUCACCCUCUUCAAACCACAAUAUUAUGUAACUAACACCAAAUACCACUAUAGAAGAGGUAAGUCGUAACAUGGUAAGCGUACUGGAAAGUGCGCUUGGAGUAACAAAAUGUAGCUUAAUAAAAGUAUCCUGCUUACACCAAGAACAUGUCUGUGAAAUUCUGACCAUUUUGAGCUUAAACCCCAGCCCACCGCAUUAAACCUAUUAACAAAUUUUUCCUUCCAGAAUUAAUAAAACAUUUUCUCAACCUAGUAAAGGCGAUUAAAAAGUAUUUAGGAGCCUCAACACCAGUACCGCAAGGG
rnacentral:rRNA from 1 species